UACGGGGGGGGCAAGCGUUGUUCGGAAUUACUGGGCGUAAAGGGCUCGUAGGCGGCCAACUAAGUCAGACGUGAAAUCCCUCGGCUUAACCGGGGAACUGCAUCUGAUACUGGAUGGCUUGAGUUCGGGAGAGGGAUGCGGAAUUCCAGGUGUAGCGGUGAAAUGCGUAGAUAUCUGGAGGAACACCGGUGGCGAAGGCGGCAUCCUGGACCGGUAUUGACGCUGAGGAGCGAAAGCGUGGGGAGCGAACAGG
rnacentral:rRNA from 1 species